rnacentral:rRNA from 1 species
UUAAGCGACUAAGCGUACACGGUGGAUGCCCUGGCAGUCAGAGGCGAUGAAGGACGUGCUAAUCUGCGAAAAGCGUCGGUAAGGUGAUAUGAACCGUUAUAGCCGGCGAUGUCCGAAUGGGGAAACCCAGUGCAAUUCGUUGCACUAUCGUUAACUGAAUACAUAGGUUAACGAGGCGAACCGGGGGAACUGAAACAUCUAAGUACCCCGAGGAAAAGAAAUCAACCGAGAUUCCCCCAGUAGCGGCGAGCGAACGGGGAGCAGCCCAGAGUCUGAAUCAGCUUGUGUGUUAGUGGAACGGUCUGGAAAGUCCGACGGUACAGGGUGAUAGUCCCGUACACCAAAAUGCACAGGCUGUGAACUCGAAGAGUAGGGCGGGACACGUGGUAUCCUGUCUGAAUAUGGGGGGACCAUCCUCCAAGGCUAAAUACUCCUGACUGACCGAUAGUGGACCAGUACCGUGAGGGAAAGGCGAAAAGAACCCCGGCGAGGGGAGUGAAAAAGAACCUGAAACCGUGUACGUACAAGCAGUGGGAGCACCUUCGGGUGUGACUGCGUACCUUUUGUAUAAUGGGUCAGCGACUUAUAUUCUGUAGCAAGGUUAACCGUAUAGGGGAGCCGCAGGGAAACCGAGUCUUAACUGGGCGUUAAGUUGCAGGGUAUAGACCCGAAACCCGGUGAUCUAGCCAUGGGCAGGUUGAAGGUUGGGUAACACUAACUGGAGGACCGAACCGACUAAUGUUGAAAAAUUAGCGGAUGACUUGUGGCUGGGGGUGAAAGGCCAAUCAAACCGGGAGAUAGCUGGUUCUCCCCGAAAGCUAUUUAGGUAGCGCCUCGUGAACUCAUCUUCGGGGGUAGAGCACUGUUUCGGCUAGGGGGUCAUCCCGACUUACCAACCCGAUGCAAACUACGAAUACCGAAGAAUGUUAUCACGGGAGACACACGGCGGGUGCUAACGUCCGUCGUGAAGAGGGAAACAACCCAGACCGCCAGCUAAGGUCCCAAAGUCAUGGUUAAGUGGGAAACGAUGUGGGAAGGCACAGACAGCCAGGAUGUUGGCUUAGAAGCAGCCAUCAUUUAAAGAAAGCGUAAUAGCUCACUGGUCGAGUCGGCCUGCGCGGAAGAUGUAACGGGGCUAAACCAUGCACCGAAGCUGCGGCAGCGACACUAUGUGUUGUUGGGUAGGGGAGCGUUCUGUAAGCCUGCGAAGGUGUGCUGUGAGGCAUGCUGGAGGUAUCAGAAGUGCGAAUGCUGACAUAAGUAACGAUAAAGCGGGUGAAAAGCCCGCUCGCCGGAAGACCAAGGGUUCCUGUCCAACGUUAAUCGGGGCAGGGUGAGUCGACCCCUAAGGCGAGGCCGAAAGGCGUAGUCGAUGGGAAACAGGUUAAUAUUCCUGUACUUGGUGUUACUGCGAAGGGGGGACGGAGAAGGCUAUGUUAGCCGGGCGACGGUUGUCCCGGUUUAAGCAUGUAGGCUGGUUGUCCAGGCAAAUCCGGAUAAUCAAGGCUGAGGUGUGAUGACGAGGCACUACGGUGCUGAAGUAACAAAUGCCCUGCUUCCAGGAAAAGCCUCUAAGCAUCAGGUAACAUCAAAUCGUACCCCAAACCGACACAGGUGGUCAGGUAGAGAAUACCAAGGCGCUUGAGAGAACUCGGGUGAAGGAACUAGGCAAAAUGGUGCCGUAACUUCGGGAGAAGGCACGCUGGUGUGUAGGUGAAGUCCCUGCGGAUGGAGCUGAGACCAGUCGAAGAUACCAGCUGGCUGCAACUGUUUAUUAAAAACACAGCACUGUGCAAACACGAAAGUGGACGUAUACGGUGUGACGCCUGCCCGGUGCCGGAAGGUUAAUUGAUGGGGUUAUCCGUAAGGAGAAGCUCUUGAUCGAAGCCCCGGUAAACGGCGGCCGUAACUAUAACGGUCCUAAGGUAGCGAAAUUCCUUGUCGGGUAAGUUCCGACCUGCACGAAUGGCGUAAUGAUGGCCAGGCUGUCUCCACCCGAGACUCAGUGAAAUUGAACUCGCUGUGAAGAUGCAGUGUACCCGCGGCAAGACGGAAAGACCCCGUGAACCUUUACUAUAGCUUGACACUGAACAUUGAGCCUUGAUGUGUAGGAUAGGUGGGAGGCUUUGAAGCGUGGACGCCAGUCUGCGUGGAGCCAACCUUGAAAUACCACCCUUUAAUGUUUGAUGUUCUAACGUUGGCCCCUUACCGGGGUUGCGGACAGUGUCUGGUGGGUAGUUUGACUGGGGCGGUCUCCUCCCAAAGCGUAACGGAGGAGCACGAAGGUUAGCUAAUCCUGGUCGGACAUCAGGAGGUUAGUGCAAUGGCAUAAGCUAGCUUGACUGCGAGCGUGACGGCGCGAGCAGGUGCGAAAGCAGGUCAUAGUGAUCCGGUGGUUCUGAAUGGAAGGGCCAUCGCUCAACGGAUAAAAGGUACUCCGGGGAUAACAGGCUGAUACCGCCCAAGAGUUCAUAUCGACGGCGGUGUUUGGCACCUCGAUGUCGGCUCAUCACAUCCUGGGGCUGAAGUAGGUCCCAAGGGUAUGGCUGUUCGCCAUUUAAAGUGGUACGCGAGCUGGGUUUAGAACGUCGUGAGACAGUUCGGUCCCUAUCUGCCGUGGGCGCUGGAGAAUUGAGGGGGGCUGCUCCUAGUACGAGAGGACCGGAGUGGACGCAUCACUGGUGUUCGGGUUGUCAUGCCAAUGGCACUGCCCGGUAGCUAAAUGCGGAAGAGAUAAGUGCUGAAAGCAUCUAAGCACGAAACUUGCCCCGAGAUGAGUUCUCCCUGAGACUAUAAGUCUCCUGAAGGAACGUUAAAGACGAUGACGUUGAUAGGCCGGGUGUGUAAGCGCAGCGAUGCGUUGAGCUAACCGGUACUAAUGAACCGUGAGGCUUAACCUU